rnacentral:rRNA from 1 species
UACGGAGGGGGUUAGCGUUGUUCGGAAUUACUGGGCGUAAAGCGCGCGUAGGCGGACCAGAAAGUUGGGGGUGAAAACCCGGGGCUCAACCCCGGAACGGCCUCCAAAACUCCUGGUCUUGAGUUCGAGAGAGGUAAGUGGAAUUCCGAGUGUAGAGGUGAAAUUCGUAGAUAUUCGGAGGAACACCAGUGGCGAAGGCGGCUCACUGGCUCGAUACUGACGCUGAGGUGCGAAAGUGUGGGGAGCAAACAGG